GGCUGAGCGGCGGCGAAGGAUUUAGAUCAAAACAGCCUCCGUUGCAUUGAAGAAAUCAGAAAGCUGCUUAUCAUCCAUGGACGAAAUGGUAAGAGAUUCGAUAUGAGUAUCCUUCUGAGUACGAGGCCUCGGCAACACUGAUGGCAGUUUUGUCUUUUUGAAAUCGUCAAUUACAACCUCUACUCAUUGAAUCUCAGUCCUCUCGACCUCGGCCAGCCACCGACUCCUCACCUGAUUCUGAAGAUAGGGUAAGAAGACGAAGAAGGAGACAAAUAGGAUUUGAAGCUGAAGCUAGAGCCAUUUCAGUUUCCCCCAGAUGCUUAGCUGAUGAACACGAAUAUGAUACUUCCCAAAUGAGCAGUUUCAGGUCGGACAAGCCAUUUCUUGAUAUCAGAAUUCCAGCCAAAAUCAUGUCCUUUAGUGUGUAUUAUUUGCAAAUUUGCAGUUUAUAAAUCAAGCAUUGCCGCGGAACAUUUCUAUAAAGCAGACACUUGUUGUGACGUGAUGCUACAGAAUAUUCAAGGUGACAAAGUUUGGACGAUUCAAUGUUGUUCGUACAAAAGAAGUAAUGGAAGAAUGCAAGCAAUAAUUGCAGGUGCUGGUUGGAAAGCAUUUAGGCAGGACAAUCAUCUGGAAGAAGGUGACAUAUGUGUGCUGGAGGUGAUAGAGGAACGUAAGUGCAGAGUUUCGAUAUUCCGAGCUAAAAAGUGAAGAUACCAUGAGUUGUUCAUAGUUCCAUAGCAUAUACCCUAUUGAGGUUAGAUGUGAGGAAAAGUAUCAUCUUAGAGUAAUAUUAGUGGUAUAUGCAUCUCAGAGGAAGUAUUGCUAUCAUCAAUGUAAAAUGUGUGCUUUUCGUUGGAUUAGGGUAUUUUCAUUAGCAGAUAUUCCCAUGUCUCACGGGACUAGUUUUCUAUCCACACUAUGUCAAGCAUUCUUCUCAUGCAGUAAACAGAAAGACUCUGAGAUCAGUGCACCAAUGGAUGAUUAGCUUGAUGCCUAAAGUCAGUUUUGUAAACUCGUUACUUUAACACUUCCAAAAUAGUUGAGACGAAUGGUGCAAGGCUCAGUGGUGGCUGAUUUGGGUAUCUGAGUUCA